rnacentral:rRNA from 1 species
GAUGAACGCUGGCGGCGUGCCUAAUACAUGCAAGUCGAGCGAAUGGAUUAAGAGCUUGCUCUUAUGAAGUUAGCGGCGGACGGGUGAGUAACACGUGGGUAACCUGCCCAUAAGACUGGGAUAACUCCGGGAAACCGGGGCUAAUACCGGAUAACAUUUUGAACCGCAUGGUUCGAAAUUGAAAGGCGGCUUCGGCUGUCACUUAGGGCAGGACCCGGGUCGCAUUAGCUAGUUGGUGAGGGAACGGCUCACCAAGGCAACGAUGCGUAGCCGACCUGAGAGGGUGAUCGGCCACACUGGGACUGAGACACGGCCCAGACUCCUACGGGAGGCAGCAGUAGGGAAUCUUCCGCAAUGGACGAAAGUCUGACGGAGCAACGCCGCGUGAGUGAUGAAGGCUUUCGGGUCGUAAAACUCUGUUGUUAGGGAAGAACAAGUGCUAGUUGAAUAAGCUGGCACCUUGACGGUACCUAACCAGAAAGCCACGGCUAACUACGUGCCAGCCGCCGCCGUAA